CAUCGGCAUGGUGGACUUCCUAGAAGAAGUCUGGGACUUUGGCUCCAGCGUCAACAUUAUACCUAGGGGAAGCCAUUCCUGAACACCUCGGGAGCUGUCAUCUACGCUAGUGCUGCCAAGAUCAGUUUCUACAUCAAGGGGAAGAAGGAGACGUUUUCCUUCAAGAAAUAAGACUACACAAAUCCUAGAGCAAUCCCGACAUGAACCAAGGAAGAGGACCAACAGGAGGAACAAGAACAAGUAAAUGUGUACCGAGUCAGCUAAGAUGGUCACUGCAGCUCAAAGAGGUCAAGAUCGUCAACUCAAGUCACCUUUCUUGAUCAAGAAGGACGACCCUGGUGUCCUAAGCAUCGAGUGCACAAUCAAUGGAUAUUCUUUUCAGAAGACACUCUACGACACCGGAUCUAACGUCAACAUAAUGGCCGCAGUCACUUAUCAGCUCCUGCAUGGAACCAUGUCCCUACAACCAACAUACAUUCAGCUCCAGAUGGCAGAUCAGACAUUCUAAAAGAUUGAAGGUUAUUGACAUGGGAGAAGACGAGUAUGAUCCACCCAUCAUCCUUGGAAGACCGUUCUUAAGCACCAUUAAAGCAAUCAUAUACAUUGGAACCAGAGAAGUCCACAUGCACUUCCCCUCAAAGAAGGUACGCCACUGUUUUACUGACUCUAACUAUAUAGUUAAAGACUCUAAGCAGGUCAGGACAAGAAGAAGACGACGCAACCGCAACCAGAGGAGGCAAAUCAUCAAGGACGGAUGGGUAGACUAUGAAGGAGAAGUGGUAAGGUCUGAAGACAUACAGCUUGAACAGAACUGUCCUGAGGAGACCGUAGCAUCGAGUCAGGUGUGGAAAGAGAAGAUAGCUAUACACGAAGAGGAAGCACCAUCGGAACCACCGACUACGCCAUCCAGCGAAUCCCAGAAUGACUCAGGAAACGGAGAGUCCCGUUCGGAGGACUUAAAAACACCGAACGCCUUGCCAAGAGGUAAACUUGGUAGUUAUCUUUUUUCUUUUAAUUAUUUAAAAUAGUUUGCUUAGUUAAUCAGGUUCACAUCACCUUGAAAAGAAAAUAAAAAUAUUGAAAAUAGUAAGCCCCAUGUGAGUAUGCUCAUGGCAUAAAACCCAUAAGUACAUUCACUAUGGUGGCAUAAAAAUAAAAUAAAUAUAUUCUUGUCCUAUAAAAAUAAAAUUAUAAAAAUAAAUUUAUGAUCCUACUAAAGAGUGUAACAUUUAUUAAGGAGGCUCAACAUGAUAAAGGCUAGAUAUUUAUGCUAACACUUAACUAGUUCCACAAAGCUUUGUUGUCUAUUUGAGCUCCACAGAAUUCAAGGAUCAAAGAAUACUAGCAGACGGAGGACAUCCUAGUCGCUGUCAGGGUGCUGCCGACAUUCAAAUACACCUCCACCACGUGCUAGAUACAUCAGGAGAAAUUGCGUCAAAAUCCAACUUGGGGGAGAGCACCCCCAUUUAUCCAGCUAAGUGUUCUACUGAUGUUUAUAUUUUACUCAAAUAAUAAAAAGAUGCAUAAUCAUAAAAACCCAAAUAACGAUUUUGUGCUUACAUAUAUAUCUUUGCUUAGUUUGCUAAAUAAAUAAAUAAACAAAGUUUGCAAUAAACCCUCGUGAUAAGCUCUCACAUGGAAAUGAUGAAUAGUUGCUCUGCCAUGACUAGUUCUCAAAAUUGAAAUCUCUCUCAAGUUUAGACAUGACUGUUAUUAAUUAAAUUUGCUCUAAACCUGAACUUGUGGGGAGAGUACUUGAUCUAAAGUCUAAGUCGUUAACGGAUACGAUAUGGGAAGGUUGAGCUGCUGUUUAUCUGUUCCUAGAGAUGCUAGAAUUCUGGAGAAUUUUAUCUUUGAAAAAAAUCUUUAAAAUGUUGCAUGAUGAGUUCCUGUAUGAUGAGAGUUUAAAUUCCUACCACAACCAUAUAUACAUGCUUGCUAGACUUUGAGCCACACAUUUACUUUUUACUGCUUAUGAGCAUUGAGUGUGGUUAAGCUGUGUAGACCCUUAGGAGCUUGUCAUGUGGUUAAAUCAAGAUUCACUUGCACGUUCACUCACAUAUGCUACUUCUACUCCAGAAGUACCAUCCACAUAUAUCCAUCCAUUUCCAUCUCCAGAACCACCCAAAAAUAUUCUACUCCUAAUCCGGGAGAGAAUAGCCAAAAACAUUCUCCUAUUUCUGUUUUUCCCUGUGAAAAAAAUGCUCAAGUUAUCUUGGUUACUACCACUUGCAAUAUUAUUUCAGGAGAUGUGUGCUCAAAAAAAAGAAAGAAAAAAAGAAAGAAUGCGAGGAAAUAAAAAGGAGCAAGUGCCCGGAACCUCGAAAGAAAAGAAAAAGUGAGACGAGAGGUAAAAAUGGACAAGUGUCCGAUAGUAGAAUUAGGGGUACAAGAUACCCACCUGAGAGAAAUGAAAAAAAAGAGAGAAAAUAUAGAGCAUCUCAUUCUCCUCAAAAAGUUUCGAAAGAGCAAGAAAGGUAUGUAUCCCCUCAAAAGAGCAUAAGUAGAAUUAGACUUUCACCAUUGUUAUCACCAUCAUCACCAUACACCAUUCAUUCGCCAGACAUGCACAUCUUGAUUUGACUUAUUGACUUGUUCUUCUGGAUCCAUGGUUUGACUAUGCAAUAAAUAUCUUGUAAGUAUGUAUUUGCUGUCUCCCACCUAUGAGCUCCAGAUAUCAAAACCUUAUUAGAGUAGGGUGAGAGAGAAGGCAAUGUCACUAUGCCUCAUACCAAAAAUACCACAUACUUUGAGAGAAGGCAUACACCUUUACUGCCUUGGUAAGGAUCCAGAAAUACCACAAAAGAGAGACUAGAGAGAGUCAUACAAGGAAUCUCUGAGUUUUAUUUGAAAAUCUGCAAAAACUCCAGAGCUAUAGUUAAUCGAAGAACAAGAGACAUGGUGGUUGUAAGACCCAUGGUGGAAGGUAAAAUGAGUAAGUUUUAAGUCUUAACAGUUUACCCUAACCAAGAGAUGAGAUCUUGUUUGAACGCAUGUAUAUCUUCAAGGCAUAAAACCACUGAAGAAACUCUUGAGUCCAUAUUUGCUGAGGGACGGGCAAAGGUUAAGCUUGGGGGAGCUUGUUGACGGUCCUUAAUGCUCAUAUUUAACCAUCAACUAAUCAUAGAAAAGGAUCCAAAUGCAACCAACACCUAGACUUAGGGUUUUAUCUGACAGAAUUCCACGAGUUUUGGUGUUUGUCUAUUUCUGCAGGGGAUUAUCACGAAAUACGGAAGAAAGGCCCAAACGUCCGGUUUACAUAGAGAUAUUAAUGUGCCGCGCAAUUUUCUACCAUCUAGAAGACUCCAGAAGCCACGGGAACGAAUGGGAAGGAAAUCGGGCUCGGAGGCAGGGCGCCCGCCCAGCUACAGUGCCCAAUCAGGACACGUUUCGCGGAUUAUGCUCCACCGACCUAAAGGAUCAAGGAAAAUCGUGCGAUCAAUGUCGGUUUGAUCCGAUGGCCCAGAUUCACUUGAAGGGACUAUAAAACCAGACCCCCUGGCCCCUUGAGAUCAUACCUCUUCUACAGAAUCAAAGCUAGGGUUUCAAUUCUUCAUCCAAGUAGAGAUGAUCCCUCUAGUUCUUCUAGUUCUACCUCUAGUUCAUCUAGAUCUAGUUCUAGUUCAUCUAGUUCUAGUUCUAGUUCCUCUAGUUCUAGUUCUAGUUAGUUCUAGCUGUAAUCUAGAAAAUAGGGAGAGAGAAGAGGAGAGCGGAGGAGGAGCCGGAUCUGUCGGAUCUUCCUCAACAUUAUACUUUUGCAGCACCUGGUUCGUUCUUCAUCGUUCUCCAGGUUCUUCAAUUCAUAAUUCCUGAGUUCUCUAAUUACUUUUAUUUAUAUUCAAGUUAUUUAUUGGAUUCCCGCUUGCAUCAAGUGCUCUAAUCUUUGAAACAUUAGAGUAGUAAUUAAUAGAUUAGACGUGGUGUUUAGUCUUGCAAUUACCUGGAAUUGCACCCAAUCCUGCGGAUUGUUGUGGUAGCCUUAGGGUAGUGACAGCCCUAACGGUCGACCUAUUCCACCUCGUUCGGAUCGGUGUUUGUAGGACCGUAGUCGGAGCUUCCUAGCCCCCUUCUCAUCUCUUUCUGUGGUUAGUGUUCUGAUGUCCUGAAAUAGAUAAUCUUGAAGUAAUUCUUGAUUCUUAGAUCAACUAGAGAACUCUCAGAAAACUUCCUCUCUUCCCACCAAAAAUAAUCAUAUAGUUAUCCUUGGGCGAUCUUGGAUCUUAAUUAGUACACUCACGUUCCCUGUGGAAAAUCGAUACUCUCGAAUACUCCCGGGUGAAGGCUACAUCGGUAUCCGUGCGCUUGCGGAUUUUUCUGUUUGCGUUUAAAAUACCCAACAGUAGUGGAGGCUUUGGUGAAGCUUUUGGCUGGCUGGCUUGGCCGGAGACGGCGAGGAACGCUCGGGCGAAGCUGUCGAUUUGCGGCGGAGCUCGCCGAGGCGAAGUGGAGAAGAGAGAGAGCACCAGAGAGGGAAAUGAGGACGGCUGGCGCUCGGGGUGGCGUCGUGUCAUCGAAGAGGACAUGCUGGAGCUGACAAGUGGGGUUGCCGUCGACGUAUGGCCGCCACGGGGCGUCCACACGUCGGCCGGCCGGCGACUGACGAAACUGAAUCUCGUGAUUCAGUCGCCGUCGGUAGUGACUGAAACCCAAUGUUCAUCGACGUUUUACUCUUGAUCCACUCGAUGGUUUUGGCUCGGAUUUGUUUCAUUGGAUAGAGCUACAUGAGUACUACAAGAUUGCUUAAAGGAUCAAGGUCUGGUUCGGCUUGGAUUUCAAACUAUAAAGCUCCCAAGUACCCUACCCCAAAACUGCAGAUUCCAGACUUAGCCAAAUUCGACUAAGUGUUGGAAACAGCACUGGUUUCUGGCUUGUGGGCCACUUUUGGUUAGGUUCCAAGCUUUUUCAUAAAAAGUAAUCAACAUAACUUUUGUAGCUUAUAAAAUUUACUACAACGUUUCUUUAGAUGACAAUUACAUCCAAGGCAUCUAACACUGUUUCAUAAAAGAUCUUUGAAAAGAGGUUUAGGAGGUCAACUAGGUCAACCUAGGGCUAACCAUGACUUAGGGGCAUUUUUGGUUAAAAUCUCCAACACAAACUUUGUUCAAAAUGAUAUUCUAAACAUGAUUAAAGUAUUGUGGAAGAAAAUGUGCACUUAAAUGCAUUGGUCCCACAUUAGUUUCACAUAUAGCAAGUCACAUAGCAAUCCAAUCAUAUAUGACAUACCUAAGAUGACAUGUGAUCAUGAUAUGAUGCUUAUGAAUGAGCAUGAUGAUGCUUAUGUUGAUGCAAUACUCAUGGUUAACAUGCAAGCUAACACUAGGAGUGUUACAGCCCUCCCCCCUUACAAAAAUCUCGUCCUGAGAUUUGAAAGACGUACCAUUUUUCAUAGAAUGAGGGGUAAGUUACUUGUAAAUAGUCUUCCCUUUACCAAGUGGCAUCUCUUUCACUUUGAUGGUUCCACAAAACCCUAAAAAGUUUAAUCACUCUCCCUCGAGUAACCCUUUCCUUGACAUCAAGAACUUGCACAGGUUUCUCUUCAUAAGAUAAAUCUGACUGUAACUUAAGACCUCCUGUUUCAACUCUUUCUUCGGGCACGCGAAGGCACUUCUUGAGUUGGGAUACAUGGAAUACAGGGAAGAUAGCUCUCAUUUCCGGAGGUAGUUGUACCUUGUAAGCCACUUUGCAACUUUUCUCAACAAUUUGAUAGGGACCCACAUACCUAGGGGCAAGCUUUCUCUUUACACCAAAGUGAUUUACUCCCUUCAUGGGCGAUACCUUCAGGUACACAAAAUCACCUACUUCAAACUCGAGUGGUCUUCUUCUUCGAUCAACAUAGCUUUUCUGUCUAGCUUGGGUGGCUUCCAUGUGUUUCUGAAGAACAAGAACUUGCUUUUCGGCUUCCUUAACAAAGUCAAUUCUGUAGUACCUCCUUUCAUCAGACACGACCCAGUUUAGAGGAGUUCUACAUUUACGGCCAUACAAAGCUUCGAAAGGAGCCAUUUGAAUACUCUCUUGAUAGCUAUUGUUGUAGGAGAAUUCAGCUAAGGGUAGCCACUUCUCCCAGGCACCCUUGGAAGAGAUGACACAUGCCCUCAACAUAUCCUCCAAAAUUUGAUUCACACGCUCAGUCUGACCGGAGGUCUGAGGGUGAUAGGCUGAACUGCGAACCAACUUUGUACCAAGGAGUGAAUGUAAAUGUUCCCAGAAGUGAAAAGUGAACUGAGGACCUCUAUCAGAUAUUAUAGUGCGAGGCACCCCGUGCAAUUUAACUAUCUGAGAGAAGUACAACUCAGCAUAGUCGGAUGGUCGGUAUGUAGAGUGUACGGGAAUGAAAUGAGGUGACUUGGUCAAGCGAUCAACAAUCACCCAUAUGGAAUUGUGCCCUUUUUGAGUAGGGGGAAGUCCAACAAUGAAGUACAUGCUGAUUUCUUCCCACUUCCAACCCGGAAUCAACAAAGGUUGCAACAAUCCUGCAGGCUUAAGGUGAAUAGCCUUUACCCUGCAGGAAGUAUCACACCUAGCAACGUAAGCUGGUAUCUCCUUCUUCAUCUUGGUCCACCAGAAACGAGGUUUUAAGUCUUGGUACAUUUUGCUACUACCAGGAUGAAUGGACAACUUGGAAGAAUGAGCUUCAUAUAAGAUUUUGUUACGUAAGUCAUGGUCUUUGGGUACAACAAGUCGAUCAUCAAACCAUAAUACACCUUUCUCAUCUACCCUGAAAUGCUUGGUGUCUUGCUCUUUCAUUUUUCUUUUGAUAUGCAAGAUACUCGGGUCAGUUUUUUGGAGUUCUCUAAUCUGACUUUCUAAAGAACAACUAACUAUAAUAUUAUGCUGGACCACAGGAUGCAAUAGAUUGAAACCUUCUUCUAGGAGAGAUCCAACAUGUUGUUUUCGGCUAAGAGCAUCGGCUACAACAUUGGCCUUGCCGGGAUGAUAGUGCACUUCAAGAUUAUAAUCCUUGAUCAAUUCCAACCAUCUUCUUUGUCUCAUGUUUAACUCAGGCUGGGUGAAGAUAUAUUUGAGGCUCUUAUGGUCAGUAUCAAUGUGACAUAGAUUACCCAACAAAUAAUGCCUCCAGAGUUUCCAUGCGUGCACAACUGCUGCUAAAUCUAGAUCAUGAGUCGGGUAGUUAACCUCGUGCUUCCUCAGCUGCCGAGAGGCAUAGCCAAUGACUCGGCCUUCUUGCAUAAGUAUGCAGCCCAACCCGAUGCCGGAUGUGUCACAGAAGACAUCUAAUGGAUUUUCAAUGUCAGGCUGUGCCAAAACAGGAGCGGUGGUCAGCAGGUGGCGUAAAGCGGCGAAAGCGACUUCACACUCCUGAGACCGUUCAAACUUCACAUCUUUUUGCAGUACUCUAGUCAUAGGCUUAGCUAUUUUGGAGAAGUCUGGAAUAAAGCGACGAUAAUAUCUCGCUAGACCAAGAAAACUCUGAACCUCGUGUACUGAAGUCGGGGCCUUCCAGUCUAGAACCUCCUGCACCUUUGAUGGGUCAACAGAAAUACCGUCUUCAUAUAGAAUAUGACCUAGAAAAGGCACUUUCUUCAGCCAAAACUCACACCUGCUGAACUUGGCAUAAAGUUGAUGUUCUCGCAAUCUAGUGAGUACAAUCCAAAGGUGCUUCUCAUAGUCUUGGGCAUUUUCAUAAUACACCAAUAUGUCAUCGAUGAACACUACCACAAAUUAUCCAGUUCAGGCAUGAACACCGAAUUCAUCAGGUACAUGAAAUGAGCAGGGGCAUUAGUCAGACCAAAGGACAUGACUAGAUACUCAUACAACCCAUACCUGGUAGAGAAUGUCGUUUUAGGGAUGUCUUCGGGUCAGAUCUUGAUUUGAUGAUACCUGGAUCUCAGAUCAAUCUUUGAGAAUACCUGGAUCUUGAUUUGGUCAAACAGAAUAUCAAUAUGGGGCAGGGGAUACUUGUUCUUGAAAGUUACAGCAUUUAGCAGACGAUAGUCUACACACAUACAUAGAGACUUGUCCUUCUUCUUGACAAAGUGAGCCGAACAACCCCAUGGAGAAGAACUACGCCGAAUAAGACCCUUUUCUAGGAGUUCUUGCAAUUGUUUCUUCAAUUCUGCCAAUUCAUUGGGUGGCAUUCGAUAUGGCCUUCUAGAGAUAGGUGCGGUACCUGGAAUUAGAUCAAUUUCAAAUUCUAUGUCUCUAUCCGGAGGCAACCCGGCCAGAUCCUUUGGAAAGACAUCCGGAAACUCACAUACUACAGGAAUUUCUACCACAGUGAGUGGUCUGAUAGCAUUUGCAGUGUGACGGAUGUCAUCAUUUUUGGGAAGUUGGACUAAGAAAGCUUCUUUACUACCAGGCUCCCUCAACAUGACUACCCUUGUUGAGGUAUCUAUUAACACCCCAUUAUUACUCAUCCAGUUCAUUCCCAAGAUAACAUCUAUUCCCAAGCCCGGUAAUAUCACAAGAUUUGCUAAAUAGUUACGACCUUCAAUAGCAAUAUGCACAUCCUUCACUAACUGGUUUGUGGAGACUUGAUUCCCAGAAGCACUAAUGCAAAAUUUGACAUUAUCAAGAUCAACUACAUGUUGCCCAUGCUUAGAUGCGAAUGCUUGACUCAUAAAUGAAUGCGAAGCUCCAGAAUCAAACAAGACAACUGUACGAUGUUGAUUGACAAGGAACAUACCAGCUGUAACCACUUCACCUUUGGGGAUUUCUUCAAUGGUGGUAUAGUGCACUCGGCUGGUACGGUUAUUAACCCCAGCUACAGAGUUCCUCUUAGUAUAAGGGCAAUCCCUCGCUCAGUGACCAACUUGUUUGCAAUUGAAGCAGGGGCGGUUAUCAGGGGGAGUUUUGGGGCUCCCUUGACCUAUAGCACCCCUAGGAAGAGCAACUGUGAAGGACUUGCGAACUUCUGUCUUCACAUUUGACUUCUUCUGCGGCGGCCUAUACCUUGUCACAACAUUAGGUGGGCGAUAGGCCGGCUUACUUGUCACUGGAGCCUUGGACUACGAAGCACCUGCUUCAUAGGCUCUCUUGCGAUUCUUGGAGGCAGCAUAUAUAGCAUUGGAGUUCUCCAGGGUUAAUGCAUCACUCACAAACUCAUUGAAGGUGGUACUCUUGUUACCAGCCAUAUUCUUAGACAGCUUGGGCCCCAGUCCUCUCUUGAAACUAGCAAGCUUCUUGGCCUCAGUGUCAACAAACUCAGUAGCAUAGCGAGACAAGUUAUUGAAAGCAUGAAGAUGCUCAGUCAAACUUUUAGUGCCCUGAGUUAAAUUCAUGAACUCGGUAUGCUUUAUAGUCAUUAAGCCCUGUGGAAUAUAAGUGCUCCUGAAAGCAGUUUUAAAGUGAUCUCAGGUUACAACAGCAUUGGCAGGCAAGCUGGUCCUAUAAUGGCUCCACCAGACACCUGCUUUGCCUUCCAACUGGUGUCCUGCAUAUUCUGCCUUUAGUUCUUCAGUCACCCUCAACAAGCGGAACUUCUGCUCAAGAGUAUUGAGCCAUUCAUCAGUUUCUAGCGGUUCAGAGGCCUCCUUGAAAACCGGCGGCUUGUUGUCCUGAAAGUCCUUGAAAUUGCUAUAUUGAUUCGCUUCUCCGCCCUGGUGGGCAUGGCGACCACCCCAAUUCUGUUGUGUCAUAGUAUGCAUGGCUUCAUUAAGCAUCCGCUGGCCCUCGACAAGAGUUGCUAGGAGCUCAGCAGGCGUAGGCGGGGGAGGAGGUGGUGGUGGUGGCACCUCAUUAUGGCCGGAGCGAGUGUUGCGAGCCAUCUGCACAAGGCAUACCAAGUGAUUGUUUAGGAUGACAGAAAUAUUGCCAUAAAUCUCGAUUGGUGCCAUACGGAAUUUACUGAAAUAAAUCCACAUACACAAGGCACAUCUUUUACAACAAGUGAAUAUCAUCCAUGAUAUUGGUUACACCCACCAUCAUAGGAUUUCACAGGGAUUAAAGACAUCACUGGAAAUUUAUUGAAGCUCACAUAAACAUGGAGCAUUUCAUAGAAGUGCAUAGGGUUACAUAAGGUCAUUGUCACAACUUAAGUCUUACAGAGAGGGCACCAUGGCCAACACAUAAAGUCUCAGGUGGAAAUUCAGAUUACAUGACCAUUACGUAAAGAGGUGGAAACUUGGUACAUAAAUUUGGAACCCAUAACUGAACUACUGAUCUUCCUCAGAUUCUUCAUUAGAGACUAUACCAUCAUCCUGAUCCUCCUCACUGGGGUCCUCUUCAUGAUUAACGGGGACAGGGUGUGGGAUAGGAAUAAUGAUAUUAUUCAGGCGAUGGACAUCUAACUGCAGCUCAGCAAUCCUAUGUAUCAGCUCUUCCUCUCUAAUCUCAGCUUGGAACAUAGCCCUAACUCUAGCAGCCUCUCUAUUUUCAGCCAAGCGCAUAGCCUCAUCUCGCUCUCUAGUCAUUUGCAUCAUGCGCGCUUGUGCCUCAUUGCGCUCUCUAACUGUAUUUUCGACUUGGUUGCGGCGGGCUUGCAAAGCGGUAUGGUAGUUUUGAAUUUCAGCUUGUGCAUCACUAAAGGCCUUGCGGUGCUUGCGCACACGCUUGUGCAGUUUGCGCUGCCCAACUUGAGCUUGUUGGAGCGCUAGCAUGCGUUCUAUGUAGGUAUCUUGGCGUACAUAGUACAGCUUAAGUACCGCCAGCAUGGCACUCAUAGCAGGGUUAGAGCUAUAUCCUAGUAUGAUUUCUCUCAUCUCCAGGGACUCAGUUCCUAUCUGGGACACAAAAGUAUCAGUUACACUCACUCUAGAAAAGGAUCCAGCUGGGCCAUUGACUAGCUCAUCACCAUAGUCUUGGCAUAUUUCUAACAGCACUUCUAAGGCUGCUACUUGGGCACCCUCCCAAGGAGUUUGACAAUCGGACUCUACUAUCCAACCUAGCCACUAUGGGUUGUUUGGACAAGGAGGAACUGUAAUUUGGACAUCUACCCAAGGUAAAGAUCCUGCAUGCUCGGCCUCUAUCCAAGUGUACUGAGGUGGUUCCUCAUAUCCCACUAAACUUAGCACCCUCCACAACAAGGUAGGAGUGCCAAACAUGUCCAAAAAAGUCUCACUUGCUUGUGGAGCUGCCACCUGUAGAAAAGACCACAACUUGAGUAAGGAAGAUUAAUUACAAUAGAAGGUAAUUUGGUACAGUUUCAGAAUUACAAGAAUUAAGUAGUGCAUAAGGAAUGCAUGAAUGAUUUAUGAUGCAUGCACGUUUCAUAUGUCCUUGCCAUUCCUAGGAAGAAAUUUCUAGCGGUAUAGUCGGUGGCAUACAUACAUGCUCUCUUUAUACGUAACUACACGGUCUACACGUUUCGUUGUUAGUGUACCUACAGAAAAUUUCAUUUCAGCCCAACCCCACAAGAAUAUAUGUGCAGAAAUGAAAGUCUAAACAUCUACAUUCAAGCUAGGUACUCCGAUAUAUAUCUUGGAACAUAUAUCGCAGCACACUACCCAUUUGGAAUACACCCACAUAUACAUCAAACAUGUAUACGUGGCUGCACCUACUACUCCCAAUUAAGUACCGGUUGGAUGGUCAUGCUCUCACAGCUCACACUUACCGUAGCGUAGAGGCAUAUAGAUCCAUACAUUACCACUCAAGCAAGUUGCAUCCAUACAAUUUCACGCCGUAUGGAUGACGAAAGAAAAACAUUGCUUACCAUGACGUAGAGGUAUAUGAUCCAUUCAUUACCAUUUAAGUAAGUGGCAUCCAUAUAAUUACACACCAUAUGGACGACGAAAGGAAAAACCCCCUUGUUAGUAGUAUUAAGCCACCAAGAAGUCCUUAAACGGGCAUAAAGGGUAUGACCACUGGCAUGGUACAUUUGUUCAAUCAUUUUAAAACAGCCCUAUGUAUAUUCUAAUUUGCCAAUUAGUUUGGGAAAAGCAAAUUCAUUUGUUUUUAAAUUCAUCUAUGAUGGUUAAAUGCUUAAUCUUGCUCCGAUGCCAGCUGUAACAGAACCGUCCAAUUUAUAAGAAUUCAAGUGAAUUAGCGACCACAAGAGCAGUCAAGCCAAUGGACUUGAACCCAUAUAAACCUGGUAGUCCGACGAAACCUCAAAGAUCUCGAUUCAACCAACAUACAACCAAGACCGUACAUGAUCAAGCAUCUCCAUCACAGAUUACAACAUUCAUCACAGAACAUAGUUUUUACAACACAUCGGAGUUCAAAUAGAGUUAUUACAACAGUUCAGUAGCGGAAGCAAAGUAGUUAUGAACAACACACACACUGAGUUUAAUUACAUGUCAGUUCCAUGAUCAACCCAACAAAAGCAUAACCAAAGAUAAUAGAAGUGAUCUUGCCCAUGAUCUACUCAUCAUCCGCAGCCGGAUGGUGACAGUUAGCACAGUAGCCGUGAUACACGACAUCAUCUGCAACAAGGGUAAAUAAAACCCUGAGUACGAGAAUGUACUCAGCUAGACUUACCCGUCAUAAACCAGAAAUAGAGUGACACCAAUGAGUAUGCAAGGCUAACAUUUGUGGACUGGUUUGACUCACAUUUUGGCAUAAAAAGCUUUAGUUUUAAGUAACAUAUAUAUACAAUUUCAGCAGCAGGUUUAUUACUUAAACAGCUAUCCACUAGGUUAGCACCUUUUUUAGAUAAUGGAUAAAAAUCCAGCUUCAUCUACCGAAGUAGAAUCAGGCCUCUUAUUACACAAACCAUGCUCAAGAAAAUCAAAAAUUAGAACCAAUUCUUCUAGAUGUAGACCAUCCAUUAGAAGCAAAGAAGCGGAGGGCAGUGUUGACGGUCCUUAAUGCUCACAUUUAACCGUCAACUAAUCAUGGAAAAUGAUCCAAAUGCAACAAACACCUAGACUUAGGGUUUUAUCUGACAGAAUUCUACGAGUUUUGGUGUUUGCCUAUUUCUGCAGGGGGUUAUCAGGAAAUACGGAGGAAAGGCCCACACGUCGGGUUUACAUAGAGAUAUUAACGUGCCGCACAAUUUUCUACCAUCUAGAAGACUCCAGAAGCCACGGGAACGAAGCGGAGGCAGAACGGGGCCUGGCCCAGGGCGCCCACCCUAAGGACCAGGGCGCCCGCCUUCCUAUAGUGUCCAAUCCGGACACGUCUUGCGGAUCACGCUCCACCGACCUAAAGGAUCAAGGAUAACCAUUCAAUCAAUGUCGGUUUGAUCCGACGGCCCAGAUUCAUCUGAAAAGACUAUAUAAGCAAGGCCCCCUGGCCCCUGGUGAGCAUACCUCUUCUACAGAAUCAAAGUUAGGCUUUCAAUUCUUCAUCCAAGUAGAGAGGAUCCCUCUAGUUCCUCUAGUUCUAGUUCUAGUUCUAGUCAGUUCUAGUUGUAAUCUAGAAAAUAGGGAGAGAGAAGAGGAGAGCGGAGUAGAAGCCGGAUCUGUCGGAUCUUCCUCAACAUUAUACUUUUGCGGCAACUGGUUCGUUCUUCAUCGUUCUCCAGGUUCUUCAAUUCAUAAUUCCUGAGUUCUUUAAUUACUUUUAUUUACAUUCAAGUUAUUUAUUGGAUUCCCGCUUGCAUCAAGUGCUCUAGUCUUUAUAACGCUAGAGUAGUAAUUAAUAGAUUAGACGUGGUGUUUAGUCUUGCAAUUACCUCGAAUCAAUCCUGCGGAUUGUUGUGGUAGCCCUAGGGUAGUGACAGCCCUAACGGUCGACGUAUUCCAACUUGUUCGGAUCGGUGUUUGUAGGACCGUAGUUAGAGCUUCCUAGCCCCCUUCUCAUCUCUUUCUAUGGUUAGUGUUCUGAUGUCCCGAAAUAAAUAAUCUUUGAAGUAAUUCUUGAUUCUUAGAUCAACUAGAGAACUCUCAGAAAACUUCCUCUCUUCCCACCAAAAAUAAUUAUAUAGUUAUCCUUGGGCGAUCUUGAAUCUUAAUUAGUGCACUCACGUUCCCUGUGGAAAAUCGAUACUCUGGAAUACUCCCAGGUGAAAGCUACAUCGGUAUCAGUGCGCUUGCGGAUUUUUCUGUUUGUGUUUAAAAUACCCAACAAGCUUUCUAGCGCCGUUGCUGGGGAACAGUAGUUGUGCUAGUUUCGAACCAAGUCGUUCAUGUAUCCUUUUUCUUUUCCUUUUUUACCACACUCACCUUACCAUUUUUCACCAUACCACAUGGAUUUCACUCCAAACAUUAAUGAGCAUGGAAUUUAUUUCAUAGCCACUUCAUUUACUCCAUGCUCAUAUGUAACAUCUUUCAAAUCCAUUGGUCUCUCCAACAUCACCACAUUCGAGAUCUCCAACCCCCUCUUCCUUUCUAUUUAUGAAAACUUUAAAAGGGCGGUUGUCGAUGCAUAUGUCUAUAAUAUAUAUUGCAUAUCUCGUUGAGUUGAUCUUGAUAUAGGUCAGCGUUGGAGGGGAAACCACUUCGCUAACAUAAAUUGAUGGUUUCCCAAUGACAAGCUUAGUGUCCUACAAUAAGCACUGAUCAGAGCGUAACAUGAGCUUUUAAUUAUUUGCGACAUUACAUUAUGUAUUGAGCAUAUAAGGAUAAUUGUAACAAAUUCCUUCGGGUAUUCUUGUCACUAACCUUUCCAGGAUUGGAGCAAGAAGAUCGGAUGAAUGACAAGCACAAGGUAUGUCCAACCAAUGAUCAUACAACAUUUAAUUAAAUUCAUCCAAACUUGAAUUUUGCAAAAUUCAAGCUUGGGGGAGUACUUUACAUAAAAACAUCCUUUGCCAUGUUGCUAUGUUGGUUGUCCCUACCUUUGAGACAUGCUCAAUUUGUUAAAUACUAAUCACACUACUUCAUCUCCACUUGAGUAGAUCUCUAUAAAUGCUCUCAUGCUACCUUUAUUUGCUUUAGUAUAUGUCUAGGUUUGGAGUAGUUUCAUUUAUCUCUUAAUUAAGCAUGGUGCUUAGUUUAGGGCUGAUGAUCUUACUUCCAAGGGAGUCUAAAUUAAGCUUGAUGCAUAGGUUAAAAUGCCCUCCUAAAUCAAAUUAGACAUGGUGUCUAGGUUGAUUUUUGAGCCGAUAGUAUGCUAUAGUAGAUAUGGGAUAUUUUGUUGGACUAACCCCUACAGAAAAACUUUCAAUAUCGACCUGGGAAGUCCUGAGAUAACCUUACAUUGGAGACAAAGAGAGAGACACAUGAAGUUUAACAAUUUACACAAGGAUGGCAUAGCUCACAAGAGAUGAUCCAUGGAGGGUGCCACAAACAUGAUGCACAAUCGCUAAGAAAGGAAAGCUUCCAUAAGGUGAUACUGUACCAUCACUCUUCAAGUAAGGUAACAUCUUAAGGUACUUGACUAUCACUUCUAUAAGCUUUUCCUUGGUUAUUGCAUUCACAUGAAUAAAAGAGACAAACAUGUAUGAUUUAUAACUCUAGAUUAACCAACCCAAUCGAUUCAACAUGUUUAGUCCUUCCACCUUUGUGAUCCCACACUCCUAAUCAUAUGAACUAAAAUAUUGCACACGCAAUCUAUGGAAGAAAUAUAAAAAAACAUAAGUAUAGAUUAUCUUUCUAUUAGGUUGAGCGAUCUGAUCUGACAAAUGUUUUAAAUGCUACACUCAUGAUCUUAUUAUCCAUCAACUUCUUGCUCACUAUGCUUAAGGUUAGAGAAGAACAAAUACACUUUUGGUUCUGUUGGUGUUUUCCACCAACAGGGCCCAUGCACUUGAUCUCUGCCUUGUCUCUAUGAGCAGGUACACUUCGAGCAAAAUAAGGAGUUUUACAACUCCCAGACUCCACCAAGUGAAGAACCUAGAUCUACGAGCACAAACACACUAGAGAUACUGGACACUUAGGCAAUCACUGCCCUGAGAUACUUGAGGACGCAACUACUAGAGUAACCCCAUUGUGGAAGUAAUUACUGACCUUCUGCCCAUCAAGAGGCGAUCCAGUACGCCCCGUCAUCCCGAUCUCCAUCGGCAUGGUGAACUUCCCAGAAGCACUCUGCGACUUUGGCUCCAGUGUCAACAUUAUGCCUAGGGUACUCUAUGAAAAAUUCUUUACACAUCCUUUAUUAGAAACAGCCAUGUGGUUGCAGCUUGCAGAUCGUAGGCUAAGUUUCCCAAAGGGAAUAUUGAAGAACCUCUACGUCCAAGUUGGUACCUUGUACGCCCCAGCAGACUUCGGGGUGAUAGAGACUGGUAAUGAUGAGACGGCACCCAUCAUCCUAUGGAGGCCAUUCCUGAACACCUCGGGAGCUGUCAUCUACGCUAGUGCUGCCAAGAUCAGUUUCUACAUAAAGGGAAGGAAGAAGAUGUUUUCCUUCAAGAACAAGACUACACAAAUCUCAAAGCAUUCCCGGCAUGAACCAAGGAAGAGGACCAACAGGAGGAACAAGAACAAGCAAAUGUGGACCGAGUCAGCUAAAAUGGUCACUGCAGUUCAAGGAGGACAAGAUCGUCGACUUAAGUCACCGUUCCUGACCAGAAAGGAUGACCCAGUCACCUAUCAGCUCCUGUUCGGAACCAUGCCCUUAAAACCGACAUACAUUCAGCUCCAGAUGGCAGAUCAGACAUUCCGAAAGGUUUUUGACAUGGGAGAAGACAAGUACGAUCCACACAUCAUCCUUGGGAGACUGUUCCUCAGCACCGUUAAAGCAAUCAUCUACAUUGGAACCAGAGAAGUCCACAUGCACUUCCCCUCUGAGAAGGUACGCCUCUAUUUUACUGACCCUAACUAUAUAAUUGAAGACUCUAAGGAGGUCAGGACAAAAAGAAGACAACGCAACCGCAACCAGAGGAGGCAAAUCAUCAAGGACGGAUGGGCACACAACGAAGGAGAAGUGGUAAGGCCUGAAGACAUACAACUUGAAUAGAACUGUCCUGAGGAGACCGUAGCAUCAAGUCAGGUGUGGAGAGAGAAGAUAGUUAUACACGAAGAGAAGGCGCCACCGGAAACACCGACUACGCCAUCCAGCGAAUCCCAAGACGACUGAGGAAACGGAGAGUCCCGUUCGGAGGACUUAAAAAAACACUGAACGCCUUGCCAAGAGGUAAACUUGGUAGUUAUCCUUUUCUCUUCAAUUAUUAAAAAUAGUUUGCUUACUUAAUCAGGUUCAUGCUAUCUCGAAAAAAAAUAAAAAUUUUAAAAAUAGUAAGCCCCAUGUGAGUAUGCUCAUGGCAUAAAACCUAUAAGUACAUUCACUGUGGUGGUGUAAAAAUAAAAUAAAUAUAUUCCUGUCCUAUAAAAAUGAAAAUAUAAAAAUAAAUUUAUGAUCUCAUUAAAAAGAGUGUAACUAUUUAUUGAGGAGGCUCAACAUGAUACAGGCUAAGAGAUUUUAUGCUAACACAUAACCAGUUCCACAAAGCUUUGUUGUCUAUUUGAGCUCCACAGAAUUCAAGGAUGAAAGAAGACUAGCAGACAGAGGACAUCCUAAGCGCUGUCAAGGUGCUGCCGACAUUCAAAAACACCUCCGCCACCUCCUAGCUACAUCAGGAGAAAUUACGUCAAAAUCCAGCUUGGGGGAGAGCAACUCCAUUUAUCUAGCUAAGUGUUCUACUCAUGUUUAUACUUUACUCAAAUAAUAAAAAGAUGAAUAAUCAUAAAAACCCAAAUAAAGAUUUUGUGCUUAUAUAUAUAUAUCUUUGCUUAGUUUGCUAAAUAAAUAAAUAAAUAAAGUUUGCUAUGAACCCUCAUGAUAAGCUCUCACAUGGAAAUGAUGAAUAGUUGCUUUGCCAUGACUAGUUCUAAAAAUUGAAAUCUCUCUCAAGUUUAGGCAUGACUAUUAUUAAUUAAGAUUUGCUCUAAACCUAAACAUGUGGGAAGAGUACUUGAUCUAAGUCUAAGUCGUUAACGAGUAUGAUAUGGGAAGGUUGAGCUGUUGUUUAUCUGUUCCUAGAGAUGCUAGAAUUCUGGAGAACUUUAUCUUUAAAAAUCUUUAAAAUAUCACAUGAUGAGUUCCUGUAUGAUGAGAGUUUAAAUUCCUACCAUAGCCAUAUAUACAUGCUUGCUAGACUUUGAGCCACACAUUUACUUUUUACUGCUUACGAGCAUUGAGUGUGGUCAAGCUGUGUAGACCCUUAGGAGUUUGUCAUGUGGUUAAAUCAAGAUUCACUUGCACGUUCACUCACACAUGCUGCUUCUACUCCGGAAGUACGCAUCCACAUAUAUCCACCCAUUUCCAUCUCCAGAACAACCCAAAAAUAUUCUACUCCUAAUCCGGGAGAGAAUAGCCAAAAACAUUCUCCUAUUUCUGUUUUCCCCUUUGAAAUAAAUGCUCAAGUUAUUUCGGUUACUACCACUUGCUACAUUAUUUAAAGAGGUGAGUGCUCUAAAAAAAGAAGAUACGAGGAAUAAAAAGGGGCAAGUGCCCGGAACCUCGAAAGAAAAGAAAAAGUGAGACGAGAGGUAAAAAUGGACAAGUGUCCGAUAGUAGAAUUAGGGGUACAACAUACCCACCUGAGAGAAAAGAAAAAUAAAAUAUAGAGCAUCUCAUUCCCCUCAAAAGCCUCAAGUGCAAGGAAGGUAUGUACCCCCUCAAAAGAGAAAAAGUAGAAUUAGACUUUGACCAUUAUUUUCACCAUUAUCACCAUCCAUUCGCCACACAUGCACAUCUUGAUUCGACUUAUUGACUUGUUCUUCUGGAUCCAUGGUUUGACUAUGCAAUAAAUGUCUUGUAAGUAUGUAUUAGCUGUCUCCCACUUAUGAGCCACAGAUAUCAAAACCUUUUUAGAGUAGGGUGAGAGAUAAGGCAAUGCUACUAUGCCUCAUACCAAAAAUACCACAUACUUUGAGAGAAGGCAUACACCAUUACUGCCUUGGUAAGGAUCCAGAAAUACCACAAAAGAGAGACUAGAGAGAGUCAUACAAAGAAUCUCUGAGUUUUAUUUAAAAAUCUACAAAAACUCCAGAGCUAUAGUUAAUCGAAGAACAAGAGACAUGGAGAUUAACUAGACCGUUCUAUCUUUUAACUGCUCAAGACACAAGUGAUGGUUGCAAGCCCCAUGGUGGAAGGUAAUAUGAGUAAGUUUAAAUCUUGACAGUUUCUCCUAACCCAGAGAUGAGAUCUUGUUUGAACACAUGUGUACCUUUAAGCCAUUGAAACCACUACAGAAACUCUUGAGUU
rnacentral:lncRNA from 1 species